UGGAUUCCUGAUCUGCCUCCCAUUAACAUAACUCAGGAUGGCUCUCAAAUUUUCUACUACCAUUGUCAUGUUUUGCUUCAUUGCGUUUCUCAUUCUUGCUAACCAUGUUGUUUCCCCUCGACAGCUGCUCCAGAAUGGUCGACGUGAGCCUGGAGGUCCUGUCGAGGGAGUCCCGUCCCCUGGAUCUCGCCCUUGUAGUGCGUUUCAGAAACCGGGGGCGACGGGAUGCUUCCCGCCUCAUUGAGACGCGAAAAUCCGUACGAGGUGCUAGCAAAGCAACCUUGUAUCCAUAUGCUUCCGUACAUUGAAAUUCUAAUUUUUUGGAGGAAGCAUUUAUCACAUAUAAAUACAUAUAUAUUGAUAUUCCCAUUGUAUCUGUCUCUAGUUUGGCAUGCGUCGUUUAUACAUACAUAUAUAUAUAUAUAUAUGCUGUCUUCAAAUACAAGAGAAGGGUCAUUUCAUCGUGAGGUCGAUGCCUCCUAAGUGUCAAGCUUGAUGUGCUUGGAAAUGAAUAAAUAUAUAUUUUAAGAUAUAUUAUUUGGCCUUUA